AUUGAACGCUAGCGGCAGGCCUAACACAUGCAAGUCGAACGAGUGGCGGACGGGUGAGUAAUGUCUGGGAAACUGCCUGAUGGAGGGGGAUAACUACUGGAAACGGUGGCUAAUACCGCAUACCAUCAGAUGUGCCCAGAUCGGAUUAGCUCGUAGGUGGGGUUAUGGCUCACCUAGGCCACGAUCCCUAGCUGGUCUGAGAGGAUGACCAGCCACACUGUAACUGAGACACGGUCCAGACUCCUACGUGAGGCAGCAUUGGGGAAGAUUGCAACAUGGGAGCAAGCCUGAUGCAGCCAUGCCGCGUGUGUGAAGAAGGCCUGCGGGUUGUAAAGCACUUUCAGCGAGGAGGCGUUAUUCGCAGAAGAAGCACCGGCUAACUCCGUGCCAGCAGCCGCGGUAAUUC
rnacentral:rRNA from 1 species